UGAAGAGCCCCAUGGCAAGCAAAAUCAGCACUAAGACAAGAACAAGGAGGGCUAGCCGAUUUUUGUGAUCAAUUGUUUCUUCUCUCAAGUUAUUCCAAGAGUUAUGGUGUUGUGUGAAACAUUUGAGGCAUCACAUUUGGGGUGCUAGGCUCACAAGGUCUUGAAGGAAUCCAAGCUACAAGAAAGGUAUGUCAUUCUAUUUAUAUUACNUACAAGUACCCCAUGCCAUGCUAGUUAGGAUGAGAACCUUGGAAAAUGAAAUUUGCAUGAAUAUUAGAGAAAACAUAGAUCCAAGGUUUCUAGGGUUUCAUGUACACCAUAAGAGUGUUACAAUGCUUAAAACCCAUCAGUGGUAUCAGAGCCUUGACUUUUUUUCUUUGUAAUUGAUGCAAGUUGCUUGAAAAAAUCAAGAAUUCUGCAAUCUGAAUAGUGAACUCGCCGAGUCCAUGGGGGGACUCGACAAGUCCAUGUGAAAAUACAUCCUACUCGUCGAGUAGGUUCUUGCACUCGGCGAGUGGGAGCCCCUGUGUGCAGAAUUUCGAGUUUUGCUGCUGGAAAUGGACUAGAAUCAUUACCAAAAGUCAUUUCUUUAAAGAGUCAUUAAAGAACCAUAGGUUACAUAAAAUGAAGAGUUUUCAUUUUAAUAAACCAUUAAACUCAUAAGUUAUGAAUAUGAAAGGUUUUGAAUAGUUUCAAAACUUGCCCUCAAGUUUUGGAAUUUAUAAAGUCACUUUAGAAAACUUUAAUUCCAUACCAUAGAGUUUUAAAAGUUCUCCUUCAACCCUUAUACUUUAUAAUAUUAUAAGUUAAUAUAUAUAUAUAUAUAUAUAUAUAUAUANUUCAACCCUUAUACUUUAUAAUAUUAUAAGUUGUAUAUAUAUAUAUAUAUAUGUGUGUGUGUGUGUAAGAGCAAGUCAGUUUUACCGUUAGUAGGCCUCAUUCACGAAGCCGGUCUAUAAGGGGGUAUAAGGUUGUUGCCUAUAAAAUGGCAGCUUAAUGGGUGUCCACUCUCACCUACCGCUUCCUUGACUGGUGGAGGGUCGUUAGCCGAACGGGUAGGACAAGGACUAUAAUUCUCAUUAAAAGUAUAAUGAUAAAUAUAAGGUAACUAAACCUUUUUUUUAAUUCCCAUUCUUAUUUACUUUAGGAAAAUGAUUGGUGCUAACCCAUGAAAUUACAUUUUGUACCUUACCAAGUCGUUGGUGGAGCGUGUGCGGGUAACCGACACACUAACAUGGAUUAGUAAGAGUAGCAAAGGGUAACUUAAUCUUUAUCAUAGAUCGGUGGAGCGUGUGUGGGUAACCGGCACAUUGAUUAGGUGAUAAAGAUUAAGGGUACCAAGUUAAUUUGCAUGGUUAUUCACACCUUGUUUUUGAUCCUCGGCAUCCCAUUCACAAACUUGAGAGGGGGCAUGUGACAUCCCCAUUUUCACGGUCAAAAAAGACCAAUUUUGUUUAUGCUUUAUAAAAAUCAGAGUACCUCUUUUAAUAAAAAUGUUGUGGAAUUUGUUCCUUGUAAAACAUGAUAAAUACGUUAUCAAAAAAUUUCCGAAGAAAAGUAUUUUUAUUCAUUUUAAAACAUUUGGGAGGUCAUCAUCAAUACAGUAACAUAAGCUUAAACAGAACCUACAUUCAUUAUCACUAGUGAUUUAUAUCUCCUUAAUCUCUCAGUGUAAUGUGACUUCAUAUCAACACCUGUGAUAUAAAUAAACAAAGUGGGUCAGGAUUGGAAACCUGGUGAGUACAUAGGGUUUUCAACCCACAAUAAUAUAAUUAUUAUGUUAAACAUCAAGCAAUCAACCCAAUUACCCAUCCCCAUUAUCUUCUUUACUCUUAAGGAUCUACCCUAAGAUUCAACUAUUCCUCGUUCUUUCAUUCCUAAGGAGUAUCCUCAGGAAUUGGCACUAAGUCUGCAUAGUCGCCAGGGUUUAUCUCGUUUAUUGACAGUAUAGUUUUCGAGAGUCCAUUCGCAAUACCUGUUAAUGGGUUCUUAGAGUACAUUGGGUGAACAAAUCGUUCACAACACCUACAGGUUGUGAGCCUGCUAGUGUUCCACUAGACUGUCUAGAAUAGUCCGUGGUUGUCAUCCAUACUCUGCUAGAUGACGGUGUCAUCGCUUGGGUCAUCGUUUGGCUCAUCGUUUUUGGCUCAUCGCUUUGGCUCAUUACUUAGGUCAUCGCUUCGCACCAUAUUUUAUCACUCAUAUAUCCUCGCUCAUCAUUCAUCUCAUCUUUCAUCUGUGACAUCCCCAUUUUCACGGUCAGAAAAGACCGAUUUUGUUUAUGCUUUGUUUAAAAAUCAGAGUAAUAUUUUAAAUAAAAGUGUUGCGGAAUUUAUCCCAAAACAAAAUAUGAUAAAGAUUUAUCAAAAGCAUUUUCGUAGAAAUGUAUUUCAUUUAAAAAGACUCGAGAUGUCAUGUUCGAUACAGAUCAUAAGCAUAAACAAUACAACAUAGGCCUUACUACAUUAUUUUGUAUUUACAGGCCUAANAUAGGCCUUACUACAUUAUUCCGUAUUUACAGGCCUAAAAUCCAUUAAUCUCUCAUCCCAAGACAUCACAUCUAUGCUCAUGCGCCACUACCUGUAAUACAAGAAACUGAGUGGGUCAGGCUUGGGAGUCUGGUGAGCACAUAGGGUUUUCAACCCACAAUAAAUAAGUUAUUAGCUUUAUCAAACCAAACAAACCCGAUUACCCGUUCCCGUUAUCCUCACUUUACGUCCCUAAAACAUCUAACACAAGGGACCUAGUCUAAGGACUAUCAUCGGGAUGGACACUACUGCUAAGGGGAUUCCUCAGCAAUAAAUGUCCUUAAGGCAACCAUGUGGGGGAUGGAGUACAUCUGGUGAGCACACAGUUCAAAUAAACACACAGUUCAAAUAAACACCUACAGGUUGCGAGCCUGCUAGUGUUCCACUGGACUGUCUAGAAUAGUCCGUGGUCGUCAUCUAUACUCCGCUAGAUGACUGGAUCAUCAAUAACAUCUAUAACGAGGCCUCUCAUUAUUUUAUUUUGUCACACUGCAACUAUUACAUCUACCCAUGUUUUACCCAACACAUUUUGUAGAUAUAAAAUACAUAUACAGUUUAAAUCAUUGAAAACAUGUAUAAAACGUUCAUCCAACAUAGAUAGCAAGUAUUCAGAUAAUAUGCACACAUAGCACGUAAUUUAUAUAAAAUACUUCAUAUCUAUGUGUAAGAUGAAAGUAACUAUGCACUCACCUGAAAGGUGGUGAGUCGGCACUCGGACAGCACUUCGUUACUCUUAAAACAAUUAUCCCUUGACGAAACCUAGUAUCAUUACCACUAGAGUUUAGUCUAACGCUUGACGAGACUAAUUUAAUAGUCUAGCUAUUAUUACUAUUAUAUAAGCGUUAAAUAACACUCAAUAUAACUCAUAAUAAUAGCCUAAAUAAUUAUUUUAAGGUCCUAACAAUGUUACUAUAAUUAAAUAAAAUCUAUAUUAAAUAUAGUAUAGGCGUAGCUCACUUACAGCGGGUUUUUAUUAAAAACCGGGCUUCGCUGGAGCAGCGUUUCCGAGCCGAAAGCUUUUCUUCUCGGAGCCGUCGGGCGCUCCGGGGCUUUCUUCUCGUGAUAGGGAGGUUCCCUAGACUUGGGAGGGGUUUAGGGAGGUUAGAGAGAAGUUAGAGAGAGAAAGAAAGGUUUGAAGGUGUGAGGAAAUUAUGAAGAGUUCAUCUCUUAUUUAUAGAAUUGUAUAGUAAAGUAGUCUCCAAGCUUCGUCCGUAACUUUUGCAUACGAGCUCCGUUUUUGUCUGUAUUUUUACUGUUGAGUUCCUUUUAAUGAGAUCUUCAACUCUCAUUUAGACCUCGUUGGCUAAUUCUCAUUCUAUCUUGGAUUUACAAAACUGUAUCGAAUUCGCCGCGCUCGAAAAGUAUGGACUAAGUUUCAUCCAUAUCUUUCGCAUACGAGCUCUAUUAUCGGCGUUCUUUAUAUCCACGCGUUGGUAUUUACGAGUACUAAAACUUUCGUUUAGAUCCCGUCGGCUAAUUCUCACUCUAUCUCAGAUUUACAAAACUGUAUCGAAUUCGCAACGCUCGAAGAGUAGGGACUAAGCAUCGUCCAUAUCUUUCGCAUACGAGCUCCAUUUUCGACUGUCUUUUUAUCGCUUAACUCCUAUUAACGAUAUCUUUAUUUAUCAUUUAGAUUAUUUUGGCUAAAAAUCGACCGAUCUAAAAUUUAGAUUUCGGGUUGUGCACUGCUACGCUAAAUCUUAGAAAAAUCAUAACUUCCUCAUACGAAGUCAGAUUUGGAUGUUCUUUUUAUGCACACUAUCGGUUUAACAUAUACUAAGACAUUCAUUUAGAUCGCUAAGGCUAAAUCUCGCUCUAUUAUAAAUUCACUAUUUACGCCUCUCGGUAUCGUGUCGGUUCAGUCGCGAAACUUCGACGGGUCAUAACUUCUUCGUUAUAACUCGGAUUUCGACGCUCUUUGUAUGUACGGAAACCUUGUAACAUAUACUAAAACUUGGUUGAGGUUAUUUAUUCUUAAUAAUCUUUUGUCGAAAAGUCGUUUUCGACCCUUAUUGCCUCUAAAUUGACUAGCCCGGAUAUACGGGCGUUACAUCAUCGCUCAUCAUUUAUCUCAUCUUUCAUCGCUCAUCAUUUAUCUCACCUCUAAUCUACCCAUGUUUUACCCCAACACAUUUUGUAGAUAUAAAAUACAUAUACAGUUUAGAUCAUUUAAAACAUGUAUAAAACGUUUCAUCCAGCAUAGACCGCAAGUAUUCAGACAGUAUACACACAUAGCACAUAAUUUAUAUAAAAUACUUCAUAUCUAUGUGUAAGAUGAAAGUAACUAUGCACUCACUUGGUAAAGUGGUGAUUCUGAACUCAGACAGCGCUUCGUUACUCUUAAAACAAUUUCCUUCGACAAAACCUAGUAUCAAUACCGCUAGGGUUUAGUCUAACGUUAACCGCGACUAAUUAAUAGUCUAGCUAUUAUUACUACUAUAUAAGCAUUAAACAACACUCUUAUAUAACUCAUAAUAAUAGCCAAAAUAAUUAUUUUAAGGUCCUAAUAAUGUUUCUAUAAUUAAUUAGAAGCUAUAUUAAAAGUAGCAUAGGCAUAGCUCACCUACAGUGGGUUUUUAUUAAAAAAACUGGGUUUCGCUGGAGCAGCGUUUCCGAGCCGAAAGUUUUUCUUCUCGGAGCCUUCGGGCGCUCCGGGGCUUUCUUUUCGUGCUAGGGAGGUUCCCUAGACUUGGGAGGGGUUUAAGGAGGCUAGAGAGAAAUUAGAGAGAGAAAGAAAGGUAAUGGUGUGAAGAAAUUAUGAAGGAUUCAUCCUUUAUUUAUAGGGAUUUUAUCGUAGAGUAGCCCCUAAGUUUCGUCCGAAUCUUCCGCAUACGAGCUCCAUUUUCUACGUUCUUUAUAUCCACGGAUUGGUAUUUACGAGUACUACAACUUUCAUUUAAAUCAUGUCGGCUAAUUCUCACUCUAUCUCAGAUUUACAAAACUGUAUCGAAUUUAUCGCGCUCGAAGAGUAGGGACUAAGUUUCGUCCAUAUCUUUCGCAUACGAGCUCUAUUAUCGACGUUCUUUAUAUCCACGGAUUGGUAUUUACGAGUACUACAACUUUCAUUUAAAUCAUGUCGGCUAAUUCUCACUCUAUCUCAGAUUUACAAAACUGUAUCGAAUUCGCCGCACUCGAAAAGUAGGGACUAAGCUUUGUCCAUAUCUUUCGCAUACGAGCUCCGUUUUCAACUGUCAUUUUAUCGUUAACUCCUAUUAACGAUAUCUUCAUUUCUUGUUUAGAUUAUUUUGUCUAAAAAUCGACCGAUCAAAAAUUCAAAUUUCGGGUUGUGCACUACUAUGCUAAAUCUUAGAAUAAUCAUAACUUACUCAUACGAAGUUAGAUUUGGACGUUCUUUUUAUGUACAAUUUUGGUUUAACAUAUACUACGAAUUUCGUUUAGAUUGCUAAGGCUAAAAAGUAUUUUAUCAUAAAUUCACUUUUUAUGAUUUUCAAUGUCGUGCCGGUUUAGCAGUAAAACUUCGACGGGUCAUAACUUCUUUGUUAUAACUCGGGUUUCAACGUUCUUUAUAUGUACGUAACCCUUGUGACAUACACUAUAACUUGGUCAAGAUUAUUUAUUCUAAAUUAUCUUAUAUAAAAAAAAAUGUCAUUUUUGAUGUUCAUUGUCUCUAAAUGACUACCCGAAUCUGCGGGCGUUACAGGACAAUCAAGAUUUAAACAUGUCAUUGAAAAGUUCAGUGAAUCUCAAAAGAAUCUAGGAGUUUCAAUCGAAUUAAAACCUAAUAAUUUAUUUCAUUUUUCAUGGUGGAAAUUGGUGAAUCGUCAUUCACAUACCUUCAAAUAUUUUAUAACUUGGAUUACGACAUCCUUCUUCCAAGUUGUACAGUAUUGUGUUGGGUCCUAUCCUUAAUAUUAAAUUUGGGUGUCUUAUUAAGGAUUCUAUAUCUAAUCUAAACUUGUCUUUCUUCUUUUCAGAUGUCUUCCAACAAUGUUGCUUCUAGAUCAAACCCUACCGGCUCCUUCUCUCUCAUGAACCUUUGUGGGAGAGUCAUCUUUGAUGGUUCAAACUUUAAUGAUUGGAUCAAGAACAUCAGGAUGGUCAUGCGUUACGAGGACAAGGAAUAUAUUCUCGACAAGGAGCUGAAAGAAAUUGAUGAGCCUACUGCUACUCCAGAGGAGAUCACUAACUUUAGGGCACAUGAGAGAGAUGCUACCAAGGUGGCAUGUAUCAUGUUGGCCACAAUGACAGCUGAACUCCAGAAGUCCUAUGAGGACUUUUACCCUUUUAAGAUGCACAUGGACUUGAUGGACCGCUACCAUCAGAGUGCUCAUCAAGAGAGGUAUGAAAUCAUCUCUUCCAUGAUAACAACCCAAAUGAAGGAUGGUGACUCCAUCACGGGGGAAGUGCAGAAAAUGAAAAGGUUUGUGGACCGUUUGCUGAAGUUGAAUGUGAACUUCCCCAAGGAGUUGGGUAUUGAUAUCAUACUACACUCCUUACCUACUUUUUAUGAUCAGUUCCGAAUGACCUAUCACAUGAACAAGGAGGAGGUCACACUCAGCAAGCUUCAAGGGCUUUUGAAGACCGCUGAAAUCGGUCUCAAAGGUAAAUCGGUUGUUACUGCUUCUACUCCUAACACCGCCCAUGUUCUGGCAAUCGGGCAAAGUAGAGGGAGGAAGAGGAAGACCCCUUCGAAGGGUACCAAGGGAAAGUCUCUUGAUGGCUCCUCUUCAAGUGGAACCAAAGGUGGUUCUAUCACUCCUUCUUCGAACCCAAAGGAAGCUCAAUGCUUCCAUUGUCAAGAAAAGGGGCACUGGAAAUGAAACUGCCCCAAGUACCUGCAAGAUGUUAAGGAUGGGAAAGUCAAACCUACCCAUACAUGUAUUUACACUAUAUUGUCUAAUAACUCACCGCAUGCUAAUUUUUGGGUCCUUGAUACAGGUUGUGGUAUUCAUAUAAGUUCUUAUUUGCAGGGCCUAAGAAGAAGUGAGGAUGUGGAGCACAGAAAGAUAAACUUGAUCAUGGGGAAUAGGAAAGCGUCACCUGUCACCAAGAUUGAAGUUUAUUCUUUGUUGCUAAGUAGUGGGUUAGUGUUAGAUUUGAAUAAGUGUUGUUACUCGUCUGAAAUGGCAAGAAAUAUUAUUUCUUUUCACGGUUUGUACAAACAAGGGUUUACUUUUUCAUUUGAUAAUGAAUGUGGUGGUAUUAAUGCUUUUUAUAAUAACGUUCUUUAUUUUAAAGCAUUACCUUGUGAUGGUGUAUAUGAAACUGUGUCGGUUGUAGAUAACUUAGGAAAUAAUGUAUUUUAUAUCGAUUCUCCCCACUAGUUUGGAUAAAGCAUCUUUGUGGAAUUGUCGUCUUGGACAUGUUAACAAGAAGCGCACAGACCAAAUCUAGAAGGCUAGAGUCUUAGAGUCAUUUGACUUAAGGUCAGAUGAUAGUUUCAAGUCUUGUUUACUUGGAAAAAUGAAAAAGUCACCCUUCAUUGGUUCUUGUGCUAGGGGUGAAGGUUUGUUGGACCUCGUACACACAGAUGUGUGUGGACCCUUCAGAACCGCCACUAGGGAUGCUAAUCGCUUCUAUGUGACUUUUACUGAUGAUUACAGUAGAUAUGGUUAUGUCUACUUAAUCAAGCAUAAGUCAGAAACCUUUGAAAAGUUCAAGGAGUUUAAACAGGAAGUGGAGAAUCAGCUGGGCAGGAACAUUAAGAUGCUCUGAUCCGAUCGAGGAGGAGAGUAUUAUAGUACAGAGUUCCUUUACUAUCUUAAGGAAUGUGGAAUUGUUUCACAAUUGACACCUCCCAGAACAUCACAACUUAAUGGUGUGGCUGAGAGGCGCAAUUGAGCCUUAUUAGACAUGGUUCGUUCCAUGAUGAGUCGAGCUUUGUUACCAAUCUCAUUAUGGGGGUAUGCCUUAGAGACUGCCGCCCAUAUCCUAAAUCUAGUACUUACGAAAAAGGUUGCCAAAACACCUCACAAGAUGUGGACUGGGAAAGUUCCCAAUUUAGACCACAUCAAGAUUUGGGGUUGUGAGGUUUUCAUGAGACGUGAGACUCAAGACAAGCUCGAACCUCAUAGUGAGCGCUGUAUUUUCAUCGGCUACCCAUAGAAAUCCUUUGGUUACCUCUUCUACAGACCCAGUGAGAAUGCGGUCUUUGUGCAAGGAGAGGGGUCUUUCGCGAGAGAGAGUUUAUAAGUCAACGAAAUAGUGGGAGGAAAAUUGAUCUUGAAGAACUUCAAGAGUCAAGCGGUGAAGGAACCUCAAACCCUAGCAAUCAACAUGAGGAGGAAACUUAUGUUGAUGAGUCCGUACCUCUGAGGCGUUCUGCAAGAGUUAGGAAUACACCUGAGCAUUACUAUGGUUCUCAUAUCACUGCGGAAGGUGAUGCAUUUAUCAGUGAUAGUACACUGGUAAAUUUGGAUGAGCCUAACAACUUUAAGGAAGCCAUGGCAGGCCCUGAGUCCACCAAAUUGAAAGAGGCCAUGGACAACGAGAUUCAGUCUAUGUAUGACAAUCAAGUUUGGGACUUGGUUGACAAUGUACCAGGUCGUAAGACGGUCGGGUGCAAAUGGAUCUUCAAGAAGAAAACCGACAUGGAUGGGAAUGUACACACUUAUAAAGCGCGAUUGGUUGCGAAGGGCUUUACUCAAACUCUGAGAGUUGACUAUGAUGAGACCUUCUGAUCAGUAGCAAAGAUUAAGUCUAUUAGGGUAUUGCUAGCCACAACUGCAUUUCAUGAUUAUGAAAUAUGGAAAAUGGAUGUCAAAAACAUUUUCCUUAAUGGAAAGUUAACUGAGGAUGUUUACAUGAGUUGGCCAGAGGGUUUUGUCGAUGCAAAGCAUCCUAAUAAAGUUUGUAAGCUUGAAAAAUCCAUCUAUGGAUUGAAACAAGCAUCUCGCAAACGGAAUCUUUAUUUCGAUGAGAAAGUCAAAGAGUUUGGUUUUUCGAGGAGUGAAGAUGAGUCAUGUGUAUAUGUUAAGGCUAGUGGGAGUAUAGUUAGUUUUUUGGUAUUGUAUGUGGAUGACAUAAUACUCAUAGGAAAUGACUUCCCAACCUUGUAGGAGGUUAAAUCCUGGCUUGGGAAGUGUUUUGCUAUGAAGGAACUUGGAGAAGUUGCCUAUAUCCUAGGGAUAAGGAUACUGAGAGACAGGAGUAAGAGACUAAUUGGACUUAGUCAAAGUACCUACUUGGAUAAGGUGCUGAAAAGGUUCAGCAUGCAGGAUUCCAAGAAAGGAGACUUACCAAUCCAGAGUAACGCCAAACUGAGUAAGACUCAUAGCCCGAGUAUAGAGGCUAAGAUAGCUGAGAUGAGUCGAGUACCAUAUGCUUUCGUUGUAGGCUCGAUCAUGUAUGAUAUGAAUUGUACUCGUCCUUAUGUGGCCUUUGCUUUGAGCAUGGUCAACAGAUAUCAAGGGAAUUCGGGCAAGGCUCACUGAACUAGGGACUGGGUCCUUACCCUUGGUGGGAGUGAUGACUUGGGAGUUGUGGGGUAUAGUGAUGCUAGCUUCCUGACUGAUAGGGAUAAUUUCCGCUCUCAGUCGGGCUGGGUCUUUACCCUAAACGGAGGAGCGAUUACUUGGAAACGUUCUAAGCAGGAAACAGUAGUUGAUUUAACUUGUGAAUCAUAGCACAUAGUAGCAAGCGAGGUAGCAAAUGAGGCUAUAUGGCUAAAGAACUUCAUUGGAGACCUUGGAGUUGUACCAGCUAUUAAGGAGCCUAUGGAGAUUUUCUGUGAUAAUGAGGGUGCAGUUGCCUUAGCUAAGGAACCAAGGGAUCAAGACAGAUCCAGGCACAUCGACAAAAAAUACCACUUCAUUAGACAUCGGAUAGAAGAAGGACUCCUCGUGGUAAAGAGGGUAUCAUCGCACGAGAACCCAACAGAUCCCUUCAUGAAGGGACUGUGUGGGGUUAAGCAUUUGCAGCAUGCGAGGUGCAUCAGGCUAAAGGAUGAUAUUAUUUUUACAGAUUAGAUAGCUAUUUAUGAAACUUGUAAAAUGUAAUUGAUAUUUGAUGAUUAAAUAAAAUUUGUUGUUUAUUUAUAAGUAAAGUGUUGCUAUCUUGUGUCAAUUGUUUACUAUUGGUUCAAUUUUGCAUGUUUUGACUUCCAGAAUAAUAAAUUUAUUCAAACUCUCCACAGUCAGUCAUAUGUUAGAAGUAGAUAUGAAUCAAGAUUGUUAUGAAUUGGGCUUGUAGAUGUCUAAGGUGUUAGACAGCGAAAAUUGCUACAACAUUCAUGAGUGCUCAUAAGUUCUGAGUAUUGGAUUCAACCCACACUCACUUGCAUCACUUCAUGGAAUUUAUCUCAAGUGAUCAUGAGAUGGUAAUAUCAUAUAAGUCUCAAACCUAGAGAUAUGAGUCGUUGAUUAUGAGUUGGUUGUGCAGUGAUUGUACGAAAACGCAUUGGUAACUCGAUGUUAUAAAACAUGCUUUUGUGUAUGAUUCAACAAGUAGUUAGUACAAGCAUAUGAGUCGAAGUUUAUCUGUUCCUUCUGGUCCUUGGAGGAUUAGAAGCGAUAACUGGGCCCUUCGAUGAUUUUGUUUUGAACUAUGUACCGGGCCCGAUCAGAACCAAAUUGAUGUGUUCAGUUUAGUUCUAUGUCAAACAAAUUAGAAAUCGGGAAACAAACUGUUGGAUAAUAAGUACGACAUUGUUCUAUGUAUUUGUCCAGCUGAUAUCUAUAAUAGAGGAUUAUGUGAUCACUUAUCUUAAAUGACGCAUCAUCAUCUUAGUUCCGUGAGACUUUGAAAGAGCUACGAUUGUUGGUCGGUUCUUGAAGUCAUACCUAUAACUAUAGUUAUUAGACUUAUCCAAGUGGGAGACUGUUGGAUAAGGUGUCUAAGUCCAUAACUAUAUUUAGUAUGUACUUGACCCGGUUUGGCAUGGUCCAUUUGGGUUGCAUGGCAUCAUAAUAAUUGGAUAGACAAAAUGAGAAAAGGACACUUAUGGUUUGUUAAGAUAUUAUAAGUUAUAAUAUAUUAUUUAAUUAGUAUUGAUCAAGAAUUAAUUUGAAACUAAUUGGAUAGACAAAAUGAGAAAAGGACACUUAUGGUUUGUUAAGAUAUUAUAAGUUAUAAUAUAUUAUUUAAUUAGUAUUGAUCAAGAAUUAAUUUGAAACUAAUUUUGUGAUAAAAAAGAGACUAAUUAAAUAUAUGGGGAUUGAUUUGUAAAUCAUUCAUUCUUAUGUAGUGGGCUUAUGGUUCAUGAUUCACAAGAUUGGGCUAGGACCCAUUGGGUGCUCCAUGGAUGCUCCAUGGAGGUUAAAACCCAUGGAUCAUGGAGGAAAUGAAAAGUCAUGCACAUUAGGGUUUACAUGGUGUAACCCUACAUGUAGCACACUAUAUAAAGAGCCCCAUGGCAAGCAAAAUCGGCACUAAGACAAGAACAAGGAGGGCUAGCCAAUUUUUUUUGAUCAAGUGUUUCUUCUGUCAAGUUAUUCCAAGAGUUGUGGUGUUGUGUGAAACAUUUGAGGCAUCACAUUUGGGGUGCUAGGCUCACAAGGUCGUGAAGGAAUCCAAGCUACAAGAAAGGUAUGUCAUUCUACUAGUUUUAUAUUACAAGUACCUCUUGCCAUGCUAGUUAGGAUGAGAAACUUAGAAAAUGAAAUUUGAAUGAAUAUUAG
rnacentral:lncRNA from 1 species